CACAAGCAAGAAUGUGUGAGAAGAUCACAGAGACCUAAAGAAGGGGAAGGGAAGAACCCACAUGUGAGAGAGAAGAGAUUGUCUGACUUGGUGUUGCGCCUUAAAGCACUAUCCAAUAAACCUCCUACAUGCAAAUCUCCAUCUCAGAAUCUGUAUCCAAGAGAUUCUACUCAAGACAUCAUCUUUUCCAGUCAGUGUUCCUAAUUGCACUGCCCCUGGAAAACGCACGGAGAAGAAAUACAGCAAAAUACAUGAGAUGGUGAAACACUCUGGCAACUGCAAGCGGACAGAUGGGAUCUGGGAGGUUCUGUGACUUGUGGUUGACCAGUGAAAUGGGGCAGAAGUGACAUUGUAUGACUUCUAAAGCUUGCACAUAAGAAGUCCUUGUAACACUCACUUUUGGGACACUACCCUAGGAACCCAGCCACCACAUAGUGAAAAGCCCAGCCCAUGCAGAGAUGACACACCCAGGUGCUCCAGUCAACAGCCCCAGGUGACAGCCAGCAUCGAUUAGCAGCCUUGUGAAUGAGUCAUCUUGGACUUUCAGCCCAACUGAACCUUCAGAUGACUCCAACCCCAGCCACCAUCUGCCCACAACAGGGUGAGACAGCCUGAGUGAACACUGCUCAGCUGAGCCAUGGAACUGUCAGAAAAAUUAAUACAGUAAGUCUCUAAGCUUUGACAUAGUUUAUUAGAUCGCCA
rnacentral:lncRNA from 1 species